rnacentral:antisense_RNA from 1 species
CUUAAUGGCGGCUGUACGUGGGGCACCUCGUGUGCGCCGAGUUCUAGAGUCCUCGGUCUGUCAACCCACGUCCAGCUGCCACCUAC